rnacentral:lncRNA from 1 species
GGGUUUCAUUACCCGAGAAGAACAUAUGAGCUACAAGCACCUGGUUGGCAAUGUCCCCUUUGUGAGCCUCCUUGUAUGCGUCCUGGCACCAUUGCUGGACGCAGUCGCUGGCCACCUCCGACGGCGGCUCCGCUCACACUCUGGCCAGCCAGCUCCAUUAGGCAUAGCAUAAUACUUGGUGCAGCUAGGUUCCAGAGCUCAAUGGUGCCGACAACCGCUCCGGUCAAUUUACCAUUGCCACCUCCAGCUUACAUAUUCUUCCAUACUAAAAUUUGGACAAUUUGUACCCUAUGAAGAUACAUGGCCAUUUAUCUGCAUGUCCACCUUGUAUAUUGGGGUUAAAAUCAACCAAGUAGAUGGGGCUUCGAGUAAUAUGUAGUGAAGCAAAAAAAUGUAAAUCCAUAAUCUACAACUGCAAGUCUCCAAUAUCUCAUAAAAACAGAUUUCACUUAGCUCAACUCGACAAAUGACUAAGUGAAUAAUCUCAUUAAAAAACUCACUUAGCUCAAUUUGACAAAUGACUAUGUGAUUCUGUUAUGGUUGGUAAUGUCUACAAAAGGAAACCCACACCGUCAGGCUUGUUUCAGCCAGCAUGGCUAUCAUAGGAGGUUAAGUAGGAAAGAUAGUUAUUAUUAGUUAAAAGAUCUACUAGGUGGAUCUGUAGAAGAGUUUCUAUCCGUGUUGAGUCAGGAGUCUGUAACCCGACUAUAAAAGUCCUUUUACGUUAAUGAGAAGAACCAGCCUGGGAUUGUGUCACCUUGACACCCUUGGGCGCCCAGCGUCCCUCUCCUGUGCCCUAAUUCCAGAACACGACGGCUCCCAGCCGCCGCCAACGUUCUCGCUCCAAUCCUCUCUACUCCCCACCCUACAAUCUACGCAGCAAGGCUAGAAGACAUACCAAUCUGGUAUCAGACUUGAUGACGACUUCUGGGGACAUCACCACCACGGUGCCUGCCGCCGCCAUCGGUUCGACGUCGGCGGCCUCCCUGCCGCUGGUGCCCUCCACACGGGUGUUGGGGGCUGGCGCGCCUGCCCAGCCGUCGCCCCCCACCAUGAUGGAGGCCCUCGCUGGGAUCACUUCGGCGAUUCAAAGCCUGGAACUCAAGAUGACCGCCGUCAAUCACCUGCUGUCCGACCAGGGAUCGCGCCUCGCGGCCAUCGACGGCCGCCCCGCUUUCCCACAGUUCGGCCUGCCCGGUUUUGGCGGCAUCCCGCUGCUGACCGACUCAGCAGCACACGUGGCGGCUCCGAGCGCCUCCUCCGCCUCCGCGUCAGAAGCUGCGGGGGAUUCCGCGGUCUCAGCGACCGGGCAGUUGUCCCUGCCGCCCGGCGCACAGCCCCUGCCCCCAACGUCGUCCAUGGGGGUGCCGAUCACACAAAUCCAGUUUCCGCACUCUCCGUCGCCAUUGCCAACGUUCGGUCAGGAGCAGCAGCGGUUGCCACAGCCGGCUACAGCCCACAUGACCAUGCCGCUGCCGUUUACACCGCCGGAGCUGGACAGGAACUUCGUGCCCAAAUACCACAAGCUGACGUUCGCAUCCUAUGACGGCAAAGACGACCCCUUAGGAUGGCUCAACAAGUGUGAGCAAUUCUUCCGCGGACAGAUGACUCGCGAGGAGGACAAAGUGUGGCUGGCCUCCUACCAUCUCACCGGUGUCGCACAACAGUGGUACCUCGUGCUGGAGACAGACCAUCAACACCAAUCAUCUCGCGGAUUUGGCCCGUCUCCCGUUUGGCGGCUCCGUCGACGCCUAUAUGGAGGCGUUCCAGGCCCGGGCCGCACACGCCGGUGAUCUGUCCACACUCCAGAAGGCCAGGCUCUUCACCGGCGGGCUACCGGAACACAUCCGCAUUGACGUGGAGCUCCUGGAACCCCAAGACCUGCAACAUGCCAUGCGCCUGGCUCGGGCAUACGAGCGCCGCAACGCCCCUCAACUCCUUGCACUGCCGGCGCCGCCCGCACGGCCAACGCGCCGAACUGCUGGCGUCCUGGCUGCCUUGCCUGCACCAGCGGGCUCAAGCAGCGCGGGGGCGCAGACUUCAUCAACUGCUGGCACAGCACGCCCCUUCAAGCGCCUCUCACCGGAUGAGAUGACAGAACGCCGCAAGAUGGGGCUCUGUUACAACUGUGAUGAACCCUAUGUCCGGGGGCACAAGUGUGCUCGACUCUUCUGCUUGGAGGCGCAAGACUACAUCGUGGAAGAGCCGGACGAUGCCCCAGACGAACCAACAGCAGGGGCACAACCAGCACCCUUUGAUCCAGAGACGCCCAUGAUUUCGUUAACGACGAUCACGGGGAUACGCGCUGAAGAAACCAUGCAGCUGCGCGUCCGGUGCGGCGGCCACGAGUUUACAGCGCUGCUGGACUCCGGUUCAACCCACAAUUUCAUCAGUGGAUCAGCAGCCACCCGCGCCAACCUGCAGUUUCUGGACAGCGGCGGUGCCCAUGUGGUGGUCGCCAAUGGAGAUCGCGUCGCUUGCCGUGGUCUCGCGCGCGCAGUUUCUCUCGACAUUGGGGAGGAGCGCUUUGCCAUCGACUGCUACUCUAUCCCCCUGGAAGCAUAUGACAUGGUGCUCGGCAUCGCUUGGCUCCGUACUCUCGGCCCCAUCCUCUGGGAUUUUGAGAGCCGCAGCAUGGAGUUCCACCGUCACAGCCGCCGGGUGAGGUGGUCCGGCAUCACUGCGUCAUGUCCAGCCCCGCCCCUGGAUGGUCGGCUGCACGCCAGCGCCGUGGCCACUGCCAAGGGAUCGGAGCCCGCCCUGCUGGAGCACCUCCUGGCAUCAUACGCCGACGUCUUUGCGCCGCCCACAGGUCUGGCACCAGCUCGCUGGUGUGAUCAUCGGAUCCACCUCAAGGUGGGCACGGAUCCCAUCGCCGUCCGACCCUACCGUUAUCCCCAGCCGCAGAAGGAUGAGCUGGAGCGCCAAUGCGAGGAGAUGCUACGCCAAGGCACCAUCCGCGCCAGCACAUCGCCCUUCUCCGCACCGGUCUUACUCGUCAAGAAGGCUGAUAACUCAUGGCGCUUUUGUGUCGAUUAUAGAGCUCUCAAUGCAGCAACAGUCAAGGACAAGUUCCCGAUACCCGUCGUCGAGGAGCUGCUGGAUGAGCUCCAUGGGGCUAAAUUCUUCACGAAGCUUGAUCUGCGCUCGGGUUACCAUCAAGUUCGCGUGCACACGGAUGACGUUCCCAAGACGGCGUUUCGCACUCACCAGGGUCACUUCGAAUUCUUGGUGAUGCCUUUUGGUUUGUCUAAUGCGCUUUCGACAUUUCAAGCUCUUAUGAAUCUGGUGCUCAAGCCGUUCCUCCGCCGUUGUGUUUUGGUGUUCUUCGACGACAUCCUAGUCUACAGUUCGUCCUGGACAGCGCACUUGAUACAUCUUCGCGCUGUCCUCAACGUACUGCGGGGCCACCAUCUACACCUGAAGCAGUCCAAGUGCUCCUUCGCAACGGCUUCCGUACAGUACCUCGGCCACAUCAUCUCACACGCAGGUGUGGCCAUGGACGACUCCAAGGUGGCAGCGGUCCAAUCAUGGCUGCAGCCGUGUUCUGCGCGCGGCCUUCGCGGUUUCCUCGGCCUUGCCGGCUACUAUCGGCGCUUCAUCAAGGACUACGGCACCAUCGCCGCGCCCUUGACCAGCCUGCUUCGGAAGGACUCGUUCCAAUGGUUGGCUGCCGCGGACGCUGCGUUUGCUGCUCUGAAGACAGCACUGUCAGCAGCACCCGUUCUCCACCUCCCCGACUUCGACCGUGACUUCUUCGUCGACUGCGACGCCUCGGGGUCUGGUUUCGGGGCUGUACUACAUCAAGGUGACGGCCUGAUCGCGUUCUUCAGCCGGCCGUUCGCAGCGCGUCACCUCAAAGUCGCCGCUUAUGAACGGGAACUCAUUGGUCUGGUACAAGCCGUUCGCCAUUGGCGACCCUACCUUUGGGGCCGCUCCUUCGUCGUCCGCACCGACCACUACGCCUUGAAGUUCCUGCUCGAUCAACGCCUGUCUACGAUACCCCAGCAUCACUGGAUCAGUAAGUUAAUGGGCUAUGAUUUCAGGGUGGAAUUCAGACCAGGGCGCUUCAAUGUGGUGGCCGAUGCUCUCUCUAGGCGUGAUGGUGAUGCACCGCUGCUGGUCGGGCUGCAGCCCCCGGAGCAGGUCUUGGCCGUCAUCUCUGCUCCCACGUUCCACCUCUUCGAGGAGCUGCGGCGCGAGUUGCAGGACACGGAGGAGUUGCGCGUGCUGCGUGACGCCAUCGCUGCAGGCGACCGCGGCGCUGAUUGGACUGUGCAAGAUGGCCUCAUUCUCUGCAAAGGGCGUGUCUAUGUCCCUGCGGUGUCCACAGUGCUCGAUGCUGUGCUGCAGCUAGCCCAUACAGGGGCGCAUGAAGGUAUCCAGAAGACGCUGCAGCGCCUUCGGACUGAGUUCGCCAUCGACCAUGAUCGCCGCGUCGUCCACGACUACGUUCGCGCCUGCGCAACUUGUCAGCGCAACAAGAUAGAGGCCUUGCAUCCAGCCGGCCUGCUACAGCCACUGCCGGUGCCAUCUCGCGUUUGGGCUGAUAUUUCCAUGGAUUUCAUCGAGGCGCUUCCCAAAGUUCAUGGCAAGAGCGUCAUCCUUACUGUGGUCGACCGAUUCUCCAAGUUUGCUCAUUUCAUUCCUCUGGGUCACCCGUAUACGGCGUCUUCCGUCGCUCGUGCUUUCUUCCAGGACAUCGUUUGUCUCCAUGGGUUUCCCGAUUCCAUAGUCAGUGAUCGAGAUCCGGUGUUCACCGGUCAUGUGUGGCGGGAUCUCUUUCGUCAGGCGGGUGUCCAACUUCGCAUGAGCACAGCUUUCCACCCUCAAACUGAUGGUCAAUCGGAGGCAGUAAACAAGACCAUCGGCAUGUACCUCCGUUGCCUAACUGGAGAUCGUCCACGAGAUUGGCUUGAUUGGCUACCUUGGGCUGAGUACUGCUAUAACACAGCCUAUCAUUCAGCGUUGCGCACCUCCCCGUUCACGGUGGUCUAUGGUCGGCCUCCUCCAGAGCUGCUGCCUUAUGCUUCAGGGAGUGCACGGACUGAUGUGGUGGACUCCCUGAUGUCCAGCCGGGAUGAAUUUCUCUCCGAGGUGCGUGAUCGCCUUUUGCAGGCUCAGGAGCACGCACGCCGUUUCUAUGACGCCAAGCAUCGGCCCCUGGAAUUUGCAGUAGGUGAUUGGGUACUUCUCCGGCUACUUCGUCACCAUCAGUCGUUGGUUUCAGGCAGCAAAGGCAAACUGGGACCUAAAUAUGCUGGGCCCUUUCUAGUUCUGGAGCGCCUAGGGGAGGUGGCCUAUCGUUUGCAGCUUCCAGAGGGUGCCCGGAUACAUGAUGUCUUUCACGUAGGGGUCCUGAAGCCAUUUCGGGGCGAACCACCUUCAGCGGAUCCCGUCCUGCCUCCUCUUCGUCACGGGCGUCCGCUGCUACAGCCAGCUAAGGUGCUGCGUUCUCGGCUCAACAGGGGCGUAUGGCAGGUUCUUGUUCAGUGGGAUGGCCUACCCUCCUCCGAUGCAACUUGGGAGCCAGUUCCAGAGUUUCGCACAGCUUACCCUGAGUUUCAGCUCGAGGACGAGCUGUUUCCGAAGGACGGGAGAGAUGUUAUGGUUGGUAAUGUCUACAAAAGGAAACCCACAGGUGGCUGAUUGGGUUUAGGAAAGGACUAGGCAGCCGUCAGGCUUGUUUCAGCCAGCAUGGCUAUCAUAGGAGGUUAAGUAGGAAAGAUAGUUAUUAUUAGUUAAAAGAUCUACUAGGUGGAUCUGUAGAAGAGUUUCUAUCCGUGUUGAGUCAGGAGUCUGUAACCUGGACUAUAAAAGUCCUUUUACGUUAAUGAGAAGAACCAGCCUGGGAUUGUGUCACCUUGACACCCUUGGGCGCCCAGCGUCCCUCUCCUGUGCCCUAAUUCCAGAACACGACGGCUCCCAGCCGCCGCCAACGUUCUCGCUCCAAUCCUCUCUACUCCCCACCCUACAAUCUACGCAGCAAGGCUAGAAGACAUACCAGAUUCCAAUUUCAAAUGCAGCUUAUGAUAGAACUUUUCUUACCUGGAUAGUAGCUUUCAAACCAUAAGCUAUGACAACAACAAUGAUAUUUGCAUUUGCAGCCCAUUUAAGAUUCCAGGCAGGAUGCCCUCCAAGGAUUUUGAAUUGUAUUCCAAAGGUGCUCACCCAGAUAAAACAACAAAAGGCCCUGUGUGCACAAU